rnacentral:rRNA from 1 species
AUUGAACGCUGGCGGCAGGACUAACACAUGCAAGUCGAACGAGUGGCGGAAGGGUGAGUAAUGUAUGGGAAACUGCACGUUGGAGGGGGAUAACUACGGGAAAAGGUAGCUAAUACCGCAUACCAUCAGAGGGGCCCAGAUGGGAGUAGCUAGUUGGUGGGGUAAAGGCUCACCAAGGCGACGAGCCGUAGCUGGUGUGAGAGGAUGACCAGCCACACUGGAACUGAGACAAGGUCCAGACUCCUACGGGAGGCAGCAGUGGGGAAUAUUGCACAAGGGGCGCAACCCUGAUGCAGCCAUGCCGCGUGUAUGAUGAAGGCCUUCGGGUUGUAAAGUACUUUCAGCGGGGAGGCGUUACCCGCAGAAUAAGCACCGGCUAACUCCGUGCCAGCAGCCGCGGUAAUUC